rnacentral:rRNA from 1 species
AUGCAGCCCUUUUCGCGGCACACCUGCUUCUUCGCGUCCCUCAAGCAGGUGGAAGACCGGUUGGCGGCGGAGGAGCAGCCGCCGGCGCCUCGACAGCCCGUCGCGCCGCCGCUGUUCUCUGACACCAUGACCGCAUCCCCGCUCUUCCUCGGCGCGUCGACGGCCACGGCCACCGACCGCGGCGGCGCCGGCGGGGAGAGCAGCGACGCGGCGCUGGACUUCCUCACCCUCUCCAAAGAUGAAGCGCGCGUGCAGGAGCCCCAACAAGACUCCGAUGACGGCGACGACGAUAGCGGGGCGGACAUAGCGCGGCUGAUGGCCCUUCUGGGCCUGUCGCCGUCGCCAUGGAUCGGCGACGACGGACGAGACAGCGGCGGGUGCGACUGCAGCGGCGGCGACGGGUUCAUGGCGAAGGUCGUCGGAGUGGUCGGGCCCAAGUGCGAAAGGAAGAAGAGGAGGGUGGACGGCUGGAUCCAGCAUUACUACGGCGAUGGCGGCGGGUGCAGGGAGCCCGCGAGGCUGGCGCACCUCCUGCUCGCCAAGGCCUCGUGGUCCUUGGAUGGAGAAGGCCUCGAGGGUAGAGCAGCCAUUGCAUUCCCUUCCGCGGUGAAGGAGUUCUUGGAGCGUGACGCGCCGGCGCGGUUGACGGAGGGGGAGCAUAGGGAGACAGAGUGA